CCUUGGCGAUCACCUUUUAUUGGGAUUUGAUUUGUUUAUAUCAAAGUGCUAGUAAUGCCAUGUCUUCAUUCAUAAAAAAUUCUUUGGAGAUAUUUUAUGAUGAUGGUUUGGUCAUUCUUUAUCUGUUACUCUGUUUCAGGUUGAACACUGACUUAAUGAACUUUGUGAAGAAUUGAGUGAACGUCUUCAUUCUAACCUGGAGUAGAAUAAGCAAAUUGCACAUACACUCACUUUGCAUGCUAGAGCUUUCAAGGUAUAUGGCAUAUAUUAUGAACACUAAUGAUGAGGAGAAAGUUAAGGAUUUUCAUCCUUUCUCUAUGGCUAUAGACGGUGAUAAGCUUUUGUGAUCGUGGAACAACUAGGGCAUGUUGCUCUUGUAACUGAACUUGUGAAGAGGUGGGUACGAGAGAAAGACAAAGUUGAAGUCGUCAUAGAGUUCUAACUCAUACAAUGUUGAACUAUUUUGAUCUUAUUUUGGGAUUUAACUCAUAUAAUGAACUAUGUUGAAGUGAAUUUGGAUACUUAAAGUUUUGAUUUUUGUAAUUUGUUUUUUGUAUAUACAUGAAUAGAUUUGAUCUUGUGAGUUUUUUUUAUCUUU